ensembl:miRNA MIR183 microRNA 183
UGACUCCUGUUCUGUGUAUGGCACUGGUAGAAUUCACUGUGAACAGUCUCAGUCAGUGAAUUACCGAAGGGCCAUAAACAGAGCAGAGACA